UACGUAGGUGGCAAGCGUUAGUCCGGAAUUAUUGGGCGUAAAGCGCGCGCAGGUGGUUUCUUAAGUCUGAUGUGAAAGCCCACGGCUCAACCGUGGAGGGUCAUUGGAAACUGGGAGACUUGAGUGCAGAAGAGGAAAGUGGAAUUCCAUGUGUAGCGGUGAAAUGCGUAGAGAUGAUGGAGGAACACCAGUGGCGAAGGCGACUUUCUGGUCUGUAACUGACACUGAGGCGCGAAAGUCGUGGGGAGC
rnacentral:rRNA from 1 species